CCUACGGGAGGCAGCAGUAAGGAAUAUUGGUCAAUGGGCGCAAGCCUGAACCAGCCAUGCCGCGUGAAGGAAGACGGCCCUAUGGGUUGUAAACUUCUUUUGUCAGGGAAUAAAUGUAAGUACGUGUACUUACUUGAAGGUACCUGAAGAAUAAGCAUCGGCUAACUCCGUGCCAGCAGCCGCGGUAA
rnacentral:rRNA from 1 species